GACGAACGCUGGCGGCGUGCUUAACACAUGCAAGUCGAACGGAAAGGCCCUGCUUUUGUUGGGUGCUCGAGUGGCGAACGGGUGAGUAACACGUGAGUAACCUGCCCUUGACUUUGGGAUAACUUCAGGAAACUGGGGCUCAUACCGGAUAGGAGCUCCUGCUGCAUGGUGGGGGUUGGAAAGUUUCGGCGGUUGGGGCUGGACUCGCGGCUUAUCAGCUUGUUGGUGGGGUAGUGGCUUACCAAGGCUUGGACGGGUAGCCGGCCUGAGAGGGUGACCGGCCACAUUGGGACUGAGGUACGGCCCAGACUGCUACGGGAGGCAGCAGUGGGGAAUAUUGCACAAUGGGCGGAAGCCUGAUGCAGCAACGCCGCGUGCGGGAUGACGGCCUUCGGGUUGUAAACAGCUUUCGCCUGUGACGAAGCGUGAGUGACGGUAAUGGGUAAAGAAGCACCGGCUAACUACGUG
rnacentral:rRNA from 1 species